UCGAGGAUCUUCGGCAAUGGGCGCAAGCCUGACCGAGCGACGCCGCGUGUGCGAUGAAGGCCUUCGGGUUGUAAAGCACUGUCGAGGGGGAGGAAAGCCCGCAAGGGCCUGACCUAUCCCUGGAGGAAGCACGGGCUAAGUUCGUGCCAGCAGCCGCGGUAAGACGAACCGUGCGAACGUUGUUCGGAAUCACUGGGCUUAAAGGGCGCGUAGGCGGGCCCUCCAGUCAGGGGUGAAAUCUUCCGGCUCAACCGGAAAAGUGCCCCUGAUACUGAGGGUCUCGAGGGGUGUAGGGGCAUGUGGAACUUCCGGUGGAGCGGUGAAAUGCGUAGAUAUCGGAAGGAACGCCGGUGGCGAAAGCGACGUGCUGGACACCUUCUGACGCUGAGGCGCGAAAGCCAGGGGAGCAAACGGGAUUAGAUACCCCGGUAGUCCUGGCCCUAAACGAUGGGUACUAGAUUGUGGACCGGACAUGGGUU
rnacentral:rRNA from 1 species